CANGGNCGGCAGCUACACAUGCAGUCGAGCGGUAGAGAGAAGCUUGCUUCUCUUGAGAGCGGCGGACGGGUGAGUAAUACCUAGGAAUCUGCCUGAUAGUGGGGGAUAACGUUCGGAAACGGACGCUAAUACCGCAUACGUCCUACGGGAGAAAGCAGGGGACCUUCGGGCCUUGCGCUAUCAGAUGAGCCUAGGUCGGAUUAGCUAGUUGGUGAGGUAAUGGCUCACCAAGGCUACGAUCCGUAACUGGUCUGAGAGGAUGAUCAGUCACACUGGAACUGAGACACGGUCCAGACUCCUACGGGAGGCAGCAGUGGGGAAUAUUGGACAAUGGGCGAAAGCCUGAUCCAGCCAUGCCGCGUGUGUGAAGAAGGUCUUCGGAUUGUAAAGCACUUUAAGUUGGGAGGAAGGGCAUUAACCUAAUACGUUGGUGUCUUGACGUUACCGACAGAAUAAGCACCGGCUAACUCUGUGCCAGCAGCCGCGGUAAUACAGAGGGUGCAAGCGUUAAUCGGAAUUACUGGGCGUAAAGCGCGCGUAGGUGGUUUGUUAAGUUGAAUGUGAAAUCCCCGGGCUCAACCUGGGAACUGCAUCCAAAACUGGCAAGCUAGAGUAUGGUAGAGGGUAGUGGAAUUUCCUGUGUAGCGGUGAAAUGCGUAGAUAUAGGAAGGAACACCAGUGGCGAAGGCGACUACCUGGACUGAUACUGACACUGAGGUGCGAAAGCGUGGGGAGCAAACAGGAUUAGAUACCCUGGUAGUCCACGCCGUAAACGAUGUCAACUAGCCGUUGGGAGUCUUGAACUCUUAGUGGCGCAGCUAACGCAUUAAGUUGACCGCCUGGGGAGUACGGCCGCAAGGUUAAAACUCAAAUGAAUUGACGGGGCCCGCACAGCGGUGGAGCAUGUGGUUUAAUUCGAGCACGCGAGANNUACCAGGCUUGACAUCC
rnacentral:rRNA from 1 species